rnacentral:rRNA from 1 species
UACGUAGGGGGCUAGCGUUGUCCGGAAUCAUUGGGCGUAAAGAGCGUGUAGGCGGUCCGGUAAGUCCGCUGUGAAAGUCGGGGGCUCAACCCUCGAAUGCCGGUGGAUACUGUCGGGCUAGAGUGCGGAAGAGGCGACUGGAAUUCCUGGUGUAGCGGUGAAAUGCGCAGAUAUCAGGAGGAACACCGAUGGCGAAGGCAGGUCUCUGGGCCGAUACUGACGCUGAGACGCGAAAGCGUGGGGAGCGAACAGG